UACGUAGGGGCCUAGCGUUGUCCGGAUUUAUUGGGCGUAAAGAGCUCGUAGGCGGCUUGGUAAGUCAGGUGUGAAAUCUCCACGCUCAACGUGGAGGGGCCACCCGAAACUGCCAUGGCUUGAGUCCGGUAGGGGAGUGUGGAAUUCCCGGUGUAGCGGUGAAAUGCGCAGAUAUCGGGAGGAACACCCGUAGCGAAGGCGGCACUCUGGGCCGGUACUGACGCUGAUGCGCGAAAGCUAGGGGAGCAAACAGG
rnacentral:rRNA from 1 species